CUAUGCGCCUUGCCAGCCCGCUCAGGUGUGCCAGCAGCCGCGGUAAUACGGAGGAUGCGAGCGUUAUCCGGAUUUAUUGGGUUUAAAGGGUGCGUAGGCGGAUUUUUAAGUCAGCGGUAAAAUGUCCGGGCUCAACCCGGGCCGGCCGUUGAAACUGGGGAUCUUGAGUGGGCGAGAAGUAUGCGGAAUGCGUGGUGUAGCGGUGAAAUGCAUAGAUAUCACGCAGAACCCCGAUUGCGAAGGCAGCAUACCGGCGCCCGACUGACGCUGAGGCACGAAAGUGCGGGUAUCGAACAGG
rnacentral:rRNA from 1 species